rnacentral:rRNA from 1 species
GACGGGGGAUGCAAGUGUUAUCCGGAAUCACUGGGCGUAAAGCGUCUGCAGGUGGUUUCCUAAGUCCACUGUUAAACCUUGAGGCUCAACCUCAAAUCUGCAUUGGAAACUAGGAGACUUGAGUAUAGUAGGGGUAGAGGGAAUUUCCAGUGGAGCGGUGGAAUGCGUAGAUAUUGGAAAGAACACCGAUGGCGAAGGCACUCUACUGGGCUAUUACUGACACUCAGAGACGAAAGCUAGGGGAGCAAAUGGG